rnacentral:rRNA from 1 species
ACCCGUUGAUCCUGCGGGAGGUUGCUGCUAUCGGGAUUCGACUAAGCCAUGCAAGUCAAGGGGGUCUUUCGGGACCACCGGCAGAAUGCUCAGUAACACGUCGAUAAUCUGCCCUAAGGUCUAGGAUAGCCUCGGAAAACUGGGGGUAAACCUGGAUAGGGGACUAUAUCUGGAAUGAUUUGUCCUUCAAAAGAAAUGCCUUAGGAUGAGUCGGCGGUCGAUUAGGUUGUUGGCGGGGUAAUGGCCCACCAAGCCAAAGAUCGAUAGGGGCCUUGAGAGAGGUAGCCCCGAGAAGGGCACUGAGAUACUGGCCCUAGCCCUACGGGGUGCAGCAGGCGCGAAACCUCUACAAUGCACGAAAGUGUGAUAGGGGAAUCCCGAGUGCUUACACUCUGUGUAGGCUUUUUCUAAGAGUAAACACCUUAGAGAAUAAGUGGUGGGUAAGACUGGUGCCAGCCGCCGCGGUAACACCAGCGCCACGAGUGGCAACCGCUUUUAUUGGGCCUAAAGCGUCCGUAGCCGGCCCGGCAAGUCUUUUGUGAAAUCAUUGGGCUUAACUCAAUGGCGAGCAGAAGAUACUACUGGGCUUGGAACCGGGAGGAGCUAGAAGUAUUUUUGGGGGAACGGUAAAAUGUUAUAAUCCCAAAAGGACUACCUGUGGCGAAGGCGUCUAGCUAGAACGGAUUCGACGGUGAGGGACGAAAGCCAGGGGAGCAAAACGGAUUAGAUACCCGAGUAGUCCUGGCUGUAAACUCUGCGAGCUAGGUGUUGCAUAUUCUUCGGAGUAUGCAGUGUCGAAGCGAAGGUGUUAAGCUCGCCGCCUGGGAAGUAUAGUCGCAAGACCGAAACUUAAAGGAAUUGGCGGGGGAGCACUACAAGGGGUGCGGCGUGCGGUUUAAUCUAACUCAACGCAGAAAAUCUCACCAGAGGCGACGGCAGGAUGAAAGUCAGUCUAAAGGGCUUACUUGACGAGCCGAGAGGUAGUGCAUGGCCGCCGUCAGCUCGUGCUGUAAGGUGUCCUGUUAAGUCAGGCAACGAGCGAGACCUGUAUCCACAAUUGCUAACGACCACUGGGAUCGAGCACAUUGUGGGGACUGCCCUCGAAAGGGGGAGGAAGGUGUAGGCAACGGUAGGUCUGUAUGCUCCGAAUCUUCUGGGCUACACGCGCGCAACAAUGGUAAGGACAAUGGGAUGCAACUCCGAAAGGAGGAGCUAAACCUCGAAACCCUAUCCAAGUUCAGAUUGAGGAUUGUAACCCAUCCUCAUGACGAUGGAAUCCCUAGUAAUUGGAUCUCAUCACGGUCCAGUGAAUAUGUCCCUGCUCCUUGCACACACCGCCCGUCAAACCAACCGAGCAGGGUUUAGAUGAGGAUUAAUUUCUUGAUUAAGUCGAAUCUAAGCUCAGAGAGGUGGGUUAAGUCGUCACAAGGUA